CCACCGCUGCAGAGCCAGUGAGAGCAGCACCACCAGCAGCACACGGUGACGGGAUUGAAAUGGCGUAGCGCGCAGUCCACUGCCGCAGCAGCGCAGCGGGGCCAGGCUCACUGAACAUUUCAGAGCCUGGCCCGUUGAACUCCAACCAACGAGUAACGUUAUGAUAGGGAUGACUUUUCGUUCCAGUUCACUCGCUUUUAUACCAGCACGAGAUCACCGGAGACGUGACCCUCAUAUGUCAUGACAAGAAGAGAAAGGAACAGUCCAGAAAGGAACUCAUGACCAGAUGAGACCGUCUUGUCUUUGUUCUUCAAAUUGUCCUCCAUCCUGAUAAGUUGACCUUCCUCCAGCGAUAUUUCAGGGAAGUGUUUGUUCAGCAUACCAACUGUCCCAGGUCUAUGAUCAUAUCAUCUCUGCACUUUGAAGAUGACAACUGAAGUUGUGUUUAUUCAUGAAAGAACCAUAAACUCCUCAUGUGUCCAAAAAACUUAAUUGUGCCACAGUAAAGAACCAUCAUCUGGUUAUAAAUAAACCCAGUGGAUAUUUAUAUAGUUGCAGGUUGAGUUCAAAAAAGUGAAAUUGGAAAGAGCAAAAGCGCACCCGAUUUGCAGGUAAAACAAAUGCACGUUUAAAAACUAAAUCUUGCAAGCAAGAUGAAGUAGCUUCAUCCCAGAAUUUUAUUUUCUGCAGACUAAGUGCCUAGAUGUGUCCCAGCUCCUGUCUCUCAACUGACUAUUUCCAUAACUUAGCUUCAAACAUACAAGUAAAGCACUACUGCGUCAUUUAUUUAGUCAUUACAAAUGAGACUACAUACUGUAGACAGAAGGCUCUCUUCAAAAUAUGUUUUCUCUCAUCUCUGAACUGAUAUUGGUGCUUCAGCAAAACCAUGAACCUUUCUUCAUGUUUUCUAUGUACUUGUACUGACAUACCAAGAUAGACGGUGGCACACUGACCCAGGCAUACGCAUUAUAAAUUCCACAGUUAAACCUUUCUAGUGGUGGUGGGGUUCUGAUGAGAUGCAGGACAUGAUGAAAUAUAAUUAUUUUACUACCUCAGAAGUUACCACAGCUCAGACCCACACAGCAAGCGCUCUGAUCUAACUAUAUUCACAUUUCUUUUUCUCGUUGUUAUAUAAAUAUAACCAUUGUCUAUGAAAUAGUCAUUGUCUGAGGAGUCAUGAUGUUUCAUCCCUUGUACAUUACCUUAUUAAUAGG